AUUUGCUUGGAGAGGAAUUGAGAGGAACUCUUGGACAGCUUUUCUAUCCUUAACUGCUCUAAUUGUUUGAAGCUUUUUUCCCAUUUAUUCGCGCAUUUAAUUCUUCACGGAUUAGGAGACAUGGUAGACGAUCGACUGAAGGCAAUCAACUAGACAGUG